AUGGUAGAGCAAGUGGCUUUCGAUGCCCCCUUAGUUGAUGGAUCUGAUGGAAAGGAUGUUGAGAUUCGAGGAAGGGGAACACCACAUUUCCUGCUUCAUCUGCUCCACCACAGUACUACACAGAUACAGUUCUGUUUCCAACCAGACCAGUUUCUUGGUACCAUUUUGUUACAGAAUAUAAACUUCCGAGUAAUUGGUAGUUUCAUUCAUGUUAUUCAACGGUGGAAAUUAACCUGUGGUUCUUCAAGAUAA